UUCAAUAACCAAUUCAAAUUUUAUUCAUCCGUCAGUUACAUUAAUACCCCGUUUUCAUAGCAGGAUGGGAGGAGGAAAAUGAGCAUAUGUGCGUGACAAUGAUAUUGUUUUUCACAAGUUAUGAGCAGCUGUUUCUUAUUAUAAUUCUACGUUAUAUAACGCAUGCAUAUUUGAUCGAAACAAGAUAUUUACAAAUACCAAAAUCUUGGACAAUUAACAAGAACAUUUCAAAAUCAGUAUGGUCAUUCUCGUAACUGAUAUUAGAUAAAUUCUUCCCAGAAUCGAAGAUACAAUUCCAAAUUUAUUCUUGAUUCACAUUAACCCUUAAAUGAACAGCUAGGAUGAAUAGCAAAAUGGAUAUUCGUAUCUACAAUUCCCCUCUUGGAUCAUUUCAUGAUCUACCUUACGGAAAAUAUCCAUGGGAGGCCUGCGGCAGAGAAACGAAAGGAGGUAUAUUCAGACAUGCUAAUCACGUCUGCGGGACUUUCAUUAUUUCUUCACCUCGAUUUCCCCCAUUUGCUCUAUGCCGUAGGUUUUCCCUUUAAGAGGAGUUCGAGCUGUCAAUUUUCAGCUUUUUCAAUUAUCUGUUGAAUACAUCUUUUAAGUGUACAAGUUAAAUAUUUCAAACAGCUGACAUGUUAACCAAUUUUAAACAGACUGCACAUCAUGUUAUCUGUAACUUGAGCCUUGGAUCAAAAUUGUAUUCUUCCCAACAACGGGAAUAUUAUUAUUAUAAUUCACAACGUAAACACAUAUAGUCAAAAUGGGAAUAAUAUCUAUUCCCCCUCUUUGGACCAAGGUCUUGGAUUACCAGUCCACCCAGUGAUCUGGGGCCAGGUCAAAAAACCCAGUGGCAAAAACCCUAUUUGAGGAAAAAAAGCACAUCUGGAAAACCCUGAGUGAGGGACAUGACUGUAUAAACAUAUCAUCCCCUCAUGUUGACAGCAUUAGUGACUUAUAAAACCCGCACUUGUAAGUAAAUAGCUCGGGUAUCGGGAUUGGGAAACACUUCUUGAUUAGUUUGAAAAGGCCCACUUACAUAUUAAUUCAUGAGAUAACUUAUUAUCAGCUUGAAAUUCUAACAAUAAUCCCAAUCACGACCUUGCAUCCUAUGUCUCCUAAUGACAUCUCUAUUUCGAUGGUCUAGUCAUAUCCACACUUAAUACAUGGGAAUCCAUCCUUGGUACACUCAACAUACAUCAAUGACACACAUAGUACAUCCAUGCCUGAAUAAGCUAACACUUCCUCUCUCUCUCCGGCUAACUCUACAAAAAUGAAAAUAACAAAAUAGUUCAAUAGUCCAGCAUAGUCCAGAAAAAUAGAAUAAGUCUUUCAAGGAGUAUAAAGAAUCUUAGACACCAUAAACUUUGUUCCAAAAUCUUAGACACCAUAACAUAGCUAAGGGUAGCAAUAUGGCUGACAACAAGACUAUGUCAGCUUCCACAUAGUUCUUAAUUCUUCUGUUUGCUGGAUGUUCACCACAAUACUCUGUGCAACACCCCAAUUGUUGAAAGGGAAAUACAGAAAUAGCGGCAUUAGACAGCACUGCACCUUCAGGACUUUCCAAGUUAGUUUAUGUCCUCAUAAGUAAGCAUCUCAGUUUCUUCAGCCAGCAUGGAUUUUGACCAAACAGAUUUAAUUGCAAAAAAGGUAGGUAGGCAGGUAGGUCAGCCAGAGAGAUUGGUGUGUUGUCCCAAAUAUCAGGCGGCACAAAUACUCCAGUACGGUCU